GACAGAGGUGCCAAGCGUUAGGCGGAAUCACUGGGCUUAAAGCGUGUGUAGGCGGAUUGGUAAGUACCUUGUGAAAUCCCACGGCUCAACCGUGGAACUGCUUGGUAUACUGCUUAUCUUGAGCCACUUAGGGGCUGUCGGAACAAACGGUGGAGCGGUGAAAUGCGUAGAUAUCGGGAGGAACACCUGAGGCGAAGGCGGGCUACUGGGCCGAUACUGACGCUGAGACACGAAAGCGUGGGUAGCAAACAGG
rnacentral:rRNA from 1 species